rnacentral:rRNA from 1 species
GAUGAACGCUGGCGGCGUGCCUAAUACAUGCAAGUCGAGCGAACAGACGAGGAGCUUGCUCCUCCGACGCUAGCGGCGGACGGGUGAGUAACACGUGGAUAACCUACCUAUAAGACUGGGAUAACUUCGGGAAACCGGAGCUAAUACCGGAUAAUAUAUUGAACCGCAUGGUUCAAUAGUGAAAGACGGUUUUGCUGUCACUUAUAGAUGGAUCCGCGCCGCAUUAGCUAGUUGGUAAGGUAACAGCUUACCAAGGCGACGAUGCGUAGCCGACCUGAGAGGGUGAUCGGCCACACUGGAACUGAGACACGGUCCAGACUCCUACGGGAGGCAGCAGUAGGGAAUCUUCCGCAAUGGGCGAAAGCCUGACGGAGCAACGCCGCGUGAGUGAUGAAGGUCUUCGGAUCGUAAAACUCUGUUAUUAGGGAAGAACAAAUGUGUAAGUAACUAUGCACGUCUUGACGGUACCUAAUCAGAGAGCCACGGCUAACUACGUG